rnacentral:rRNA from 1 species
GUAAGGAAUAUUGGACAAUGGACGCAAGUCUGAUCCAGCCAUGCCGCGUGAAGGAUUAAGGUCCUCUGGAUUGUAAACUUCUUUUAUAAGGGACGAAAAAAGGCUUUUCUAAGUCGUCUGACGGUACCUUAUGAAUAAGCACCGGCUAACUCCGUGCCAGCAGCCGCGGUAAUACGGAGGGUGCAAGCGUUAUCCGGAUUCACUGGGUUUAAAGGGUGCGUAGGCGGGCAGGUAAGUCAGUGGUGAAAUCCUAGAGCUUAACUCUAGAACUGCCAUUGAUACUAUCUGUCUUGAAUAGUGUGGAGGUAAGCGGAAUAUGUCAUGUAGCGGUGAAAUGCUUAGAUAUGACAUAGAACACCUAUUGCGAAGGCAGCUUACUACGCAUAUAUUGACGCUGAGGCACGAAAGCGUGGGGAUCAAACAGGAUUAGAAACCCCAGUAGUCC